rnacentral:lncRNA from 1 species
UAAACCUAAUAGCGAAACAAAUCCCUCAUAGCUUGUAUGUGCUAAAGGGAAAAAAAUUGUUUUGAAAGAUGCAUAGGGAUAGCAACGGCAUGUUGAAAGAGACGCUCCGUUUCGUUGGCUGAAAGAAAGUGCAGAAUAAACCGACAUUUUACUGGACUGAGAAGAGGUUUGCCUUCCUCAAAACGAACAAAUGGAAUUGGAAGACUGCGACAAUUAUUGAGGAUGGAUAUGUCCAGCUAUCAUUAUGCAACCAUUUCAUAUGGUUAUUCUAAGAAUGGAAUUUUGACCAAGAAAUGAGUCGCAGACAACGUGGCAUUCCCUAACCUGACGUCUGCAUGGCCAAGAUAUUCUGUGGCAGUCAGAUUAUAUGGUGAUGCAGUUGAGAAUUUAGAUCUUCAACAGAUUGGCUUUUACAUAAUAGGAAAUGUUAGCAGAGAUUUAGGGAAAUGCACAUGUAGUAAGGAUGCAGGUAUGGUGAAGGAAUAACAGAGUUUGCUCCAUAAAGACAGUGACCUGAAGCUGAGGUUAAAAACAACUAGGCUAGUAUCUAUUAAAAAAAACAAAAAUAGAUAAAUUGGGAAAUGGAUGUGAGCCGUCUUCAUAGUGUCUACAAGGUGACUUUGAGAAGCUAAUACUCCUGCAGAUUAGCUACAGCAGGAUUCUUCAAAUUGGACCCAGAAUUGCCGAUCAGAGGGUCACAGCAUCACAUAAAAAGGGAAUUUAUGUAGAAUUAACAAAUGGAUGAAUUAUGUUAUAUAAGUUACAAAAUAAGUGUUUAUUAUGCCAAUGUUUUCCGUACCAUAUGUUUUUCAUGCCAAACGGAGAAGGGUGUAGAAUAUAUUCAGUACUAGGUACAGACAGUAUGCCAGAUAGAUAUCAAAUAGUGAAUUAAUAAAUUUGGAAAAGCUUCCCCUUCCACAUGAGAGAAAAUUUGUAAAUCUUAAGGAAAAGAUGUAAAUAAACAUAUAAACCAACAAAACUAAUAAUCAUUAUUCUUUACUUUGUGAAAAAUCAUGUUUAUUUGUUUAGUAUUAUCUAAUGUAUGUAUGAAAGUAAUGUAAUAAAGUGAGAUUGUGUGAAAGAGGAGGGAAUCCUCGGUUAGGGGGUAGGGGAUGGGAUAUAUUAAUCUCUUAUGGCUUGAAGGGGCAGAAGGGGAGGAUUAAGUGGGAGAAGCCUCCUGGACACAGACAUGAUGAUGGUGGUAGGAGAUAUAGGGAUAGAAGUAGAAAAAUCUCCAUAACUUUGAGGAUAGAAGAAAAAGGGGCAAACAGUGCUAGUUAUACUAGUUUAUACAUGCUAUAUGUCAUUCCGUGUGAAAUAGAGGUCUUUAAAAAACUGUCAGUUUUCAAAAGCUAAUACUAUAGGGAGAUGACUCUAUAAAAGGUGGUUGGUCAUCCUCUAUUUAACUGGUCUAACAUCUCUUUAGUGAGUGACUGUUGUGGGUGUGAGUUCCCAUAGGUAUGGCUGGGUGCUGGAGUGGAAUUGGAGAUCGAUGGGCAGAGCCGGUGAGGCUCUCGGACUGUGGAGGCUUAGGCAGCCCUGGAGUUGCUGCUGCUGUUGUCUUGUUCAGAUGGAAGAUUGUUGAGUGAUGAUCUCGGCCCAGGCGCUGGAGCUUAAGUACUCUCAAGCUGUUUCAGCUACCUGGGAGCAGUCCAAUGAGCAAGCCAGGAGCUGUCCAUGACAACCAAUCAGGUCUUAGCAUCAGUCAUCCAGAGGCUGCUGAUGGUGGGGUGCGAGGAUGCAGCUAUAGAUCUGGACCCAACCUGGGGGGAAGUAUGCCGCACUGCAGGUUGUGGGGGUCAGCUACAGGUACUCCCUCUCCAGUGAGGGAGCUAAGCGAGCGAGCGAUAGCCGUGUUCGUUUCCCUCUGGGGUCACCAGUAUAGAGGGUGGUUGGUCAUCCUCUAUUUAACUGGUCUAAUAUCUCUUUAGUGAGUGACUGUUGUGGGUGUGAGUUCCGACAGGUAUGGCUGGGUGCUGGAGAGAAAUUGGAAAUCGAUGGAGAGAGCCAGUGAGGCUCCCAGACGACAGAGGCCUAGGAUGGCUUGGAGUUGCUGCUGCUGUUGUCUUGCUCAGAUGGAGGAUCGUUGAUUGAUGAUCUUGGCCCAGGCGCUGGAGCUUAAGUACUCUCAGGCUGUGUCAGCUACCCUGGAGUGAGGGGUACCUGCAGUCCAAUGAGCGAGCCAGGAGCUGUCCAUCUCAACCAAUCAGGUCUUAGUAUUAGUCAUCGAGAGGCUGCUGAUGGUGAGGUGCGAGGACACGGCUAUGGCUCUGGGCCCAACCUGGGGGAAAUAUGACGCACUGCAGGUUGCAGGGGUCUGCUACAACUCACCUGACAGCACAGUAUGUCUCUAUGCUAAAUCAUUGUGGGUUGGAUUUUCAGGGUUAACCUAUUAAGUACUUAUUCAGUUUUGUUCAAGAACGGUUAGAAAGUUUCCUUUGUUGCAAAUCUUGUUUUGCAGAUCUGUCACAGUAUAGAAUGAGUAUGAAACAUUAGUAAUAUUAAUAAGUUGUGCACUGCCAUUACUGCCAUAUAAAGCUGCUUUCUCAAAGAUAUAAAAGUAAUUCCGAUUUUUUACACCUUCAGUAAUGGUGCAUUAAUAUUUUUAGUUUAGUGAUCUUUUAUAUUCUGUUCCCUAUCUAGUUAUAGCUCCCUAAAUAUCAGUAACAGUCUCCAUUGGCAAUUCAUGUCAUAGAUUAAACUGUUGGCUUAUAUAUCUCUUCUAAUAUCUUUGAUUCAGAAAAAUAUAGUCUGCAUAUGUGGUACUGUAUGCAGACAAAGGGUCCCACUUGUAUUGUCUCAUCUACAAACGCAACAUGAUUACUUAUAUUGAUAUGGUGUAGGACAUCAAGUGUUUGGGAAGAAGUAUUGGAUGUAGUCAUACAUGGGAAUAAUUAUACUAAUAUAUAAGAGUAUUUUCAGUUUUUCUAUUAAAAUUAAUAGGCUUCUUACCAUAGAAACCUGUGAUUUGCAUUUAGAAGUGACGUAAUUAUCAGUUUUUUUUUAAAUUAUGAUAUUUACAAUAUAGAUAAUAGAGCCAUUUUCUACAAGUUCUGCCAGCUUAUAGUCAAACAGUUGUAUAAAUAGGUGUUCAAAUACAUUUCUACUUUAAUGAUACAUUGUAAGUGUCUGGGUCCUUUUACUUUAAUGAAUGUUUGCCUGAAAUUGGUUUUAAAGCAAGGUUUUAUUUGUUUGUUCUUAUUUUGCAUCAGGAAAAGAAUUGUACAAUGUCUGAAAUUGAUUUUUUAUUUUCUUUUAUUUUAGGCAACAUGUAUAGUCACAUGAUAUAAAAAGGAAUAGGAUUUAAGUUUUUGAAUCAUCACUCCCAUAUUACCCUGAUAUGUUAAUGGGAUUUAAUUCUUUUCGUCUUGUAUCAGAUGUUUUUGUAGUGCAAUAUGUUAUGAAAAUUCUAAUCUUUUUGUCUUGAACGUAUUCACAAAGUAAUGCAUGUCACCUGCUGGAUCUUUCAAAGAAUUUUAUUUUGAAU